rnacentral:rRNA from 1 species
GGCAGCAGUGGGGAAUAUUGGACAAUGGGCGAAAGCCUGAUGCAGCGACGCCGCGUGAGGGAUGACGGCCUUCGGGUUGUAAACCUCUUUCAGCAGGGACGAAGCGCAAGUGACGGUACCUGCAGAAGAAGCACCGGCUAACUACGUGCCAGCAGCCGCG